rnacentral:rRNA from 1 species
CACGUAGGGGACGAGCGUUGUCCGGAUUCAUUGGGCGUAAAGCGCGCGUAGGCGGCUCGGAAAGUCGGGCGUGAAAUGCCGGGGCUCAACCCCGGGACUGCGUCCGAUACUUCCGAGCCGGAGGUAGGUAGGGGAGAUCGGAAUUCCUGGUGUAGCGGUGAAAUGCGCAGAUAUCAGGAGGAACACCGGUGGCGAAGGCGGAUCUCUGGGCCUUACCUGACGCUGAGGCGCGAAAGCUAGGGGGGCGAACAGG